AUUGAACGCUGGCGGCAGGCUUAACACAUGCAAGUCGAGCGGAGUGAUGGUGCUUGCACUAUCACUUAGCGGCGGACGGGUGAGUAAUGCUUAGGAAUCUGCCUAUUAGUGGGGGACAACAUCUCGAAAGGGAUGCUAAUACCGCAUACGUCCUACGGGAGAAAGCAGGGGAUCACUUGUGACCUUGCGCUAAUAGAUGAGCAUAAGUCGGAUUAGCUAGUUGGUGGGGUAAAGGCCUACCAAGGCGACGAUCUGUAGCGGGUCUGAGAGGAUGAUCCGCCACACUGGGACUGAGACACGGCCCAGACUCCUACGGGAGGCAGCAGUGGGGAAUAUUGGACAAUGGGGGGAACCCUGAUCCAGCCAUGCCGCGUGUGUGAAGAAGGCCUUAUGGUUGUAAAGCACUUUAAGCGAGGAGGAGGCUCUUUUGGUUAAUACCCAAGAUGAGUGGACGUUACUCGCAGAAUAAGCACCGGCUAACUCUGUGCCAGCCGCCGCAGUAA
rnacentral:rRNA from 1 species